UUCCGUAACAAACACUACAUAGAAAUAA
rnacentral:piRNA from 1 species